rnacentral:rRNA from 1 species
GACGAACGCUGGCGGCGUGCCUAAUACAUGCAAGUUGAGCGAUGAAGAUUGGUGCUUGCACCAAUUUGAAGAGCAGCGAACGGGUGAGUACCGCGUGGGGAAUCUGCCUUUGAGCGGGGGACAACAUUUGGAAACGAAUGCUAAUACCGCAUAAUAACUUUAAACAUAAGUUUUAAGUUUGAAAGAUGCAAUUGCAUCACUCAAAGAUGAUCCCGCGUUGUAUUAGCUAGUUGGUGAGGUAAAGGCUCACCAAGGCGAUGAUACAUAGCCGACCUGAGAGGGUGAUCGGCCACAUUGGGACUGAGACACGGCCCAAACUCCUACGGGAGGCAGCAGUAGGGAAUCUUCGGCAAUGGACGAAAGUCUGACCGAGCAACGCCGCGUGAGUGAAGAAGGUUUUCGGAUCGUAAAACUCUGUUGGUAGAGAAGAACGUUGGUGAGAGUGGAAAGCUCAUCAAGUGACGGUAACUACCCAGAAAGGGACGGCUAACUACGU